rnacentral:SRP_RNA from 1 species
UCCAGGCACAGUGGUGCAUGCCUAAAAUCCCUGCUACUGGGAAGUCCAAAGAUGGUGGAUUUUUUGGUCUCAGGAGUUCUGAGCUGCAGUGGGCUGAUCCCAUCAGUUGUCUGUACUGUCUAGUACCAAUUUGGUGAGCCUUCAGGAGUGGGGAGGCACAGGUUGCCUAAGUAGUGGUGAACAGGCCCAGAUCAGAAAUGAAGUAGUUGAAACUUCUGUGCCAGUAAGUAGUAGGAUCAAGGCUAUGGAUAACCACUUAAUUUCCAGCCUGGGCAAGAUAGAGAUAGCCAGUUUUG